rnacentral:rRNA from 1 species
UGGGGAAUAUUGGACAAUGGGGGAAACCCUGAUCCAGCCAUCCCGCGUGUGCGAUGAAGGCCUUCGGGUUGUAAAGCACUUUUGGCAGGAAAGAAACGUCAUGGGUUAAUACCCCGUGAAACUGACGGUACCUGCAGAAUAAGCACCGGCUAACUACGUGCCAGCAGCCGCGGUAAUACGUAGGGUGCAAGCGUUAAUCGGAAUUACUGGGCGUAAAGCGUGCGCAGGCGGUUCGGAAAGAAAGAUGUGAAAUCCCAGAGCUCAACUUUGGAACUGCAUUUUGAACUAGCGGGCUAGAGUGUGUCAGAGGGAGGUGGAAUUCCGCGUGUAGCAGUGAAAUGCGUAGAUAUGCGGAGGAACACCGAUGGCGAAGGCAGCCUCCUGGGAUAACACUGACGCUCAUGCACGAAAGCGUGGGGAGCAAACAGG